UGACUUUUGGCGGUAUAUUAAACAUUAUAGAGGAAUUUGUACCUUAAUCGAUAUUCCCCGUUAAUUUACCCUGGUUGGUAAGUCAACUUGUAUAUCGCUGUCGUAAGAUUAUUUUUAGAGAAAUUUUUCAAUAAUAAAUUUUUAUUUAUGUCAAGUCAAGGUGCAGUAAAUGCCUAGGGUUGAGAUGGGUUACAAUGUAUGAAUACAUAUGAAUAUGAUUUUGUAAAAUGUUAUUGAAGGUGGAUUUAAUUGUAAUGUAGCAUUUGUUCAUGAAACUGAAAGAGGUCCUAAAAU
rnacentral:rRNA from 1 species